rnacentral:rRNA from 1 species
CCUACGGGAGGCAGCAGUGGGGAAUCUUGCGCAAUGGGCGAAAGCCUGACGCAGCCAUGCCGCGUGAAUGAUGAAGGUCUUAGGAUUGUAAAAUUCUUUCACCGAGGACGAUAAUGACGGUACUCGGAGAAGAAGCCCCGGCUAACUUCGUGCCAGCAGCCGCGGUAAUACGAAGGGGGCUAGCGUUGCUCGGAAUUACUGGGCGUAAAGGGAGCGUAGGCGGAUAGUUUAGUCAGAGGUGAAAGCCCAGGGCUCAACCUUGGAAUUGCCUUUGAUACUGGCUAUCUUGAGUACGGAAGAGGUAUGUGGAACUCCGAGUGUAGAGGUGAAAUUCGUAGAUAUUCGGAAGAACACCAGUGGCGAAGGCGACAUACUGGUCCGUUACUGACGCUGAGGCUCGAAAGCGUGGGGAGCAAACAGGAUUAGAUACCCUGGUAGUCCACGCUGUAAACGAUGAGUGCUAGUUGUCGGCAUGCAUGCAUGUCGGUGACGCAGCUACGCAUAAGACGACUCCGCCGUCGGGGAGGUACGGUCGGUCGAAGAAGUUAAAACUUAAAGUUAGUUAAGUUAGUACGGCGUUGAGACGUUGCCGACGGACGACGACGAGGGGAGGUUAGG